rnacentral:rRNA from 1 species
CCUACGGGUGGCAGCAGUGAGGAAUAUUGGUCAAUGGACGAGAGUCUGAACCAGCCAAGUAGCGUGAAGGAUGACUGCCCUAUGGGUUGUAAACUUCUUUUAUAUGAGAAUAAAAUGUUCCACGUGUGGGAUUUUGUAUGUAUCAUAUGAAUAAGGAUCGGCUAACUCCGUGCCAGCAGCCGCGGUAAUACGGAGGAUCCGAGCGUUAUCCGGAUUUAUUGGGUUUAAAGGGAGCGUAGGUGGAUUGUUAAGUCAGUUGUGAAAUGUUGCGGCUCAACCGUAAAAUUGCAGUUGAUACUGGCAGGCUUGAGAACAGUAGAGGUAGGCGGAAUGCGUGGUGUAGCGGUGAAAUGCUUAGAGAUCACGAAGAACACCGAUUGCGAAGGCAGCUCACUGGACUGCAACUGACACUGAGGCUCGAAAGUGUGGGUAUCAAACAGGAUUAGAUACCCUGGUAGUC